GACGAACGUUGGCGGCGUGCUUAAUACAUGCAAGUCAACUGAAGCAGUGGUAGCAAUAUCGCUGUGGAGGUGGCGCACGGGUGAGUAACACGUAGGUAAUCUGCCUUCAGGUCUGGCAUAACUCCGUGAAACCGGGGCUAAUAGCAGAUGAUGCAGCGGCUCGACAUCGAGACAGUUGUUAAAGCUAUGUCGCCUGAAGAUGAGCCUGCGUCUGAUUAGCUAGUUGGCUGGGUAACGGCCCACCAAGGCAACGAUCAGUAGCUGGUCUGAGAGGAUGAUCAGCAACACUGAAACUGAGACACGGUCCAGACUCGUACGGGAGGCAGCAGUAAGGAAUAUUGCUCAAUGGGAGAAAUACUGAAGCAGCAACGCCGCGUGAGGGACGAAGGGCUUUUGCUUGUAAACCUCUGUAGUGAGAGAAAAAAAUCCCAAUCUUUGGGACAUGAUGGUAUCUCAAAAGUAAGCCCCGGCUAACUACGUG
rnacentral:rRNA from 1 species